rnacentral:rRNA from 1 species
UGGGGAAUUUUGGACAAUGGGCGAAAGCCUGAUCCAGCAAUGCCGCGUGUGUGAAGAAGGCCUUCGGGUUGUAAAGCACUUUUGUCCGGAAAGAAAUCCUUGGCUCUAAUACAGUCGGGGGAUGACGGUACCGGAAGAAUAAGCACCGGCUAACUACGUGCCAGCAGCCGCGGUAAUACGUAGGGUGCAAGCGUUAAUCGGAAUUACUGGGCGUAAAGCGUGCGCAGGCGGUUUGCUAAGACCGAUGUGAAAUCCCCGGGCUCAACCUGGGAACUGCAUUGGUGACUGGCAGGCUAGAGUAUGGCAGAGGGGGGUAGAAUUCCACGUGUANCAGUGAAAUGCGUAGAGAUGUGGAGGAAUACCGAUGGCGAAGGCAGCCCCCUGGGCCAAUACUGACGCUCAUGCACG